rnacentral:rRNA from 1 species
GAUGAACGCUGGCGGCGUGCUUAACACAUGCAAGUCGAGCGAAGCACCUUGACUUCUUCGGAAUGAUUGGUGACUGAGUGGCGGACGGGUGAGUAACGCGUGGGCAACCUGCCUCACACAGGGGGAUAACAGUUAGAAAUGACUGCUAAUACCGCAUAAGACCACAGCACCGCAUGGUGCAGGGGUAAAAACUCCGGUGGUGUGAGAUGGACCCGCGUCUGAUUAGCUAGUUGGUGAGGUAACGGCUCACCAAGGCGACGAUCAGUAGCCGACCUGAGAGGGUGACCGGCCACAUUGGGACUGAGACACGGCCCAA